AAGUCGUAACAAGGUUUCCGUAGGUGAACCUGCGGAAGGAUCAUUAACGAAUAACUAGAUGUGGUUGUAGCUGGCUUCUAGGAGCAUGUGCACGCCCGUCUUCUUAUCUUUCCACCUGUGCACCAAAUGUAGGCUUGGAUAACUCUCGCCCUCGGGCGGAUGCGAGGAUUGUCUUCGGACUCUCCUCGAAUUUCCAAGUCUAUGUCUUUCACAAACCCCAAUGAAAAACGAAGAAUGUAGUCAAUGGGCUUUCAGCCUAUAAAACAAUAUACAACUUUCAGCAACGGAUCUCUUGGCUCUC
rnacentral:misc_RNA from 1 species